CUCUGAGCUCCAUGUCAUCUGGAUGAGAAAACAGAUCCACCACCGCCUCAGAAUACAGAAGAAGAAAGAUACACAGGCUUGAAACUUCAUGUGAAUCAAUGAGCCUUAUCUUUCCAGAAUCAAUUCAUUAUUUGAAGCUUAUUUGAAAAAGCCCACUGCAUCAUCAAUGAAGAAAGGGUGUGCUGACAAUUGCAUUAAUUACUUUAUCUAAAUCAUUUCCAAUUAACCUUACACACCACCUUACAAAUAGAGUCUUGCCAGGCCACCCUGAAUGACGCCGUCUCCUAAAGACAGACAGAUUUUUUUUUUUUUUUUUAAGGGGAGAGAAGAAGAGAGAAUUUAGAGUAGGGGAAUUUCGGGCAGGCACAGAUAAGACUGCCACUUAGUCUGAGGGCUCUUCCUUUCAAGACUACACAUUACAUUUUGGUUAAUUAAUUUCACAUUGAUAUAUGGUUUAAUUUAACACUGAUUGUCAUGUUCUGGGUAUAGGGUUUGCUCAUUUUACAAAUUAGAUUUCAGGUGUAUUUAGAAAAUAAUGCUGAUCGUCAAAGUAACAUGGGAGGAGAUGUCUUCUGUGCUGUCCUGUGAGGAGAAACAAAGCCUACAUUUUAUCACUUCUUUUUAAAUAUCCAAUAAUGUUCUUUAAAAAAUGUACAUUUGACAUUACAUAUACAAAAUGUAACUAUUACAGUUAAAAAUGUAUUGAUCAGUCAUUUGGCAAAGUGAAAAUGAAGUAUGGUGUGAAUUUCAUUUUAUGUGUCUAGUUUCAGUGAGUUCAUUGACGCUGUUGGUGAUCGCCGAGGAGGAAAAACACAGUCUAUGCUGGAACUUUAAAUGUUAAUUAUAAUGCUGGCAGAAGAACUGAGAAGUUCGGAGCUUAAUGAUAAAUAAAAUGCAGCUGCAGUGAAGACUGUGUCUAGACUGUUACUAAAACAGCAAGACUUUCACAGGAAGAGAAAGAGUAAAACAAUACAGUUGUAAAGGAAGGAGAGACUAAGCAAGCAUGAUAAGGAAAGAGAAGAUUACUACUUAAAAUAAAUUAAAUGUAUUUUUGAUGAUCAUUUUCAAAUUAACAAUUUAAUUUCAUGUAAUUAAAUUUUUAAUAACAAUUAAAUCCACAAAUUAGAUGAUUUUUAUUUUUUUAUUUUUUAAAAUGCUAUAAUCUGCCUUAAGACUUUCUUUUCCUCUCGUAAACAGAAGAACAAACUUUUGCCUCCAGUAUAAUAAAUACAUUUCCUGCAGUGCCAAAAGUAUGUACAAUAACAAGUAAGACUUGAUAUCUAACAUGCAAAUACACUUGUGUGCACAUUAACCAUCUCUUUAUUAAACAUGAGGCAAAGUUUCAUACCUGUUUUUGGAUGUAAUUAUAUAAAGAAAAAAAAAGUGUAUGUGUUGGGGGGUGAGUGGGUGGUUAUUUAUUUAUUUAUCUCAGAGCUCAUGGUCUCUCAUGGAAAAAGGGGGGAAAAACAGCCCCACUCUCCUCUCUUUUUGAUGUGUUUGCCUUCACGGCUUCUGAGCGCUCUCUAAUUCCAUCUGGCCACAACAGAGGCGGUGGAAUGGCACGAAAAAGCAUUUCCAUAUGUGCAAAUUAGGAGGCUGCCUUCCUAAAACUGCAGCGCCAUUCCUCUGAAGUAGAUAGCACUGCGGAGAGCUGCCAAGUCCUCUAAUGGCAAUCAAGAGGAGAGUUCUUAUUGGCCUGUGUCUACCUCGGGUUACAAUAGUGCAUUUUCAUCCUGCAAUUCCAGGUGUGUUUUAAAAUGUAGUAACAACAGGGUAAAAAGAAAAAAAAAUACUAGGAAAGAUUUUUAUUUGUAUACACAUU
ensembl:lncRNA